AAGAGCUCAGUUCUAAGAUUGUUUGCGCGCAGGCACCACUACUAUUCUUUCUUUUCUUGUUAUGCAUCCGGUCCUAUAAAUCUUUUUUUUCUGACCAGAGGAAGAGAAAAAGAGAGAAAUGUCGAUAAGUUAAUUCCUGUGGAUGUCUACUUGCCGGGCUGCCCACCUAAACCGGAGGCGCGGAUCACGCGAAGAUCUAUAGUGUUUAAGUCCAUCUUUCUCUUCCUGCAAGCUACUGAGAUAUGCCUCAGCUGCAGAUCUUCCUCCCCAACAAGCAACGGGUUGAGCCCGGAAGAAGCAGGGAUUGAACCAGGGCUUGUUGACAGAGCAGAUAUCAAAAGCCUAUGUUAUCUCAUUUUUAGGGACCGAGCAAGGGAUGAGCGCCCUCUGAUCUAA
rnacentral:lncRNA from 2 species